rnacentral:rRNA from 1 species
GACGAACGCUGGCGGCGUGCUUAACACAUGCAAGUCGAACGGUAAGGCCCUUCGGGGUACACGAGUGGCGAACGGGUGAGUAACACGUGGGUGAUCUGCCCUGCACUUCGGGAUAAGCCUGGGAAACUGGGUCUAAUACCGGAUAGGACUCCGGACUGCAUGGUCUGGGGUGGAAAGCUUUUGCGGUGUGGGAUGGGCCCGCGGCCUAUCAGCUUGUUGGUGGGGUGAUGGCCUACCAAGGCGACGACGGGUAGCCGGCCUGAGAGGGUGACCGGCCACACUGGGACUGAGAUACGGCCCAGACUCCUACGGGAGGCAGCAGUGGGGAAUAUUGCACAAUGGGCGCAAGCCUGAUGCAGCGACGCCGCGUGAGGGAUGACGGCCUUCGGGUUGUAAACCUCUUUCAGCACCGACGAAGCGCAAGUGACGGUAGGUGCAGAAGAAGGACCGGCCAACUACGUGCCAGCAGCCGCAGUAAUAC